AUGCUUUAUCUACCUGCUCUGCACUUUCUGAAGAGGCAGCUCACAAUUAAAUCCAACCUCCUGAGGAGAGAGCAGAUGUUUCUCCUAUUGGUGAUAAACGUGAGCUUCAUGUGGGUGACGUUCUCUGUUCUCGGUUCCCCUUGGCCUCCACUGGGUCCGUGUCUCAGAUGUGGGUUCUGCUGGGUCCGUGUCUCAGAGGUGGGUUCUGCUGGGUCCGUGUCUCAGAGGUGGGUUCUGCUGGGUCCGUGUCUCAGAGUUGGGUUCUGCUGGGUCCGUGUUUCAGAGUUGGGUUCUGCUGGAUCAGUGUCUCAGAGUUGGGUUCUGCUGGGUCCGUGUCUCAGAGUUGGGUUCUGCUGGAUCAGUGUCUCAGAGGUGGGUUCUGCUGGGUCCAGGUCUCAGAGGUGGGUUCUGCUUGAUCAGUGUCUCAGAGGUGGGUUCUGCUGCGUCCGUGUCUCAGAGGUGGGUUCUGCUGGAUCAGUGUCUCAGAGGUGGGUUCUGCUGGAUCAGUGUCUCAGAGGUGGGUUCUGCUGGGUCCGUGUCUCAGAGGUGGGUUCUGAUGCGUCCGUGUCUCAGAGGUGGGUUCUGCUGGGUCCAGGUCUCAGAGGUGGGUUCUGCUGGAUCAGUGUCUCAGAGGUGGGUUCUGCUGGGUCCAGGUCUCAGAGGUGGGUUCUGCUGGAUCAGUGUCUCAGAGGUGGGUUCUGCUGGAUCAGUGUCUCAGAGGUGGGUUCUGAUGCGUCCGUGUCUCAGAGGUGGGUUCUGCUGGGUCCGUGUCUCAGAGGUGGGUUCUGCUGGAUCAGUGUCUCAGAGGUGGGUUCUGCUGCGUCCGUGUCUCAGAGGUGGGUUCUGCUGGGUCGGUGUCUCAGAGUUGGGUUCUGCUGGGUCCGUGUCUCAGAGUUGGGUUCUGCUGGAUCAGUGUCUCAGAGGUGGGUUCUGCUGGGUCGGUGUCUCAGAGGUGGUUCUGCUGGGUCCAGGUCUCAGAGGUGGGUUCUGCUGGGUCCAGGUCUCAGAGGUGGGUUCUGCUGCGUCUGUGUCUCAGAGGUGGGUUCUGCUGGGUCGGUGUCUCAGAGGUGGGUUCUGCUGGAUCAGUGUCUCAGAGGUGGGUUCUGCUGCGUCCGUGUCUCAGAGGUGGGUUCUACUGGAUCAGUGUCUCAGAGGUGGGUUCUGCUGGGUCGGUGUCUCAGAGGUGGGUUCUGCUGGGUCGGUGUCUCAGAGUUGGGUUCUGCUGGGUCCGUGUCUCAGAGUUGGGUUCUGCUGGAUCAGUGUCUCAGAGGUGGGUUCUGCUGGGUCCAGGUCUCAGAGGUGGGUUCUGCUGGAUCAGUGUCUCAGAGGUGGGUUCUGCUGCGUCCGUGUCUCAGAGGUGGGUUCUGCUGGAUCAGUGUCUCAGAGGUGGGUUCUGCUGGAUCAGUGUCUCAGAGGUGGGUUCUGCUGGGUCGGUGUCUCAGAGUUGGGUUCUGCUGGGUCCGUGUCUCAGAGGUGGUUCUGCUGGGUUCAGGUCUCAGAGGUGGGUUCUGCUGCGUCUGUGUCUCAGAGGUGGGUUCUGCUGGAUCAGUGUCUCAGAGGUGGGUUCUGCUGGAUCAGUGUCUCAGAGGUGGGUUCUGCUGCGUCCGUGUCUCAGAGGUGGGUUCUGCUGGAUCAGUGUCUCAGAGGUGGGUUCUGCUGGGUCCAGGUCUCAGAGGUGGGUUCUGCUGGAUCAGUGUCUCAGAGGUGGGUUCUGCUGGAUCAGUGUCUCAGAGGUGGGUUCUGCUGCGUCCGUGUCUCAGAGGUGGGUUCUGCUGGAUCAGUGUCUCAGAGGUGGGUUCUGCUGCGUCCGUGUCUCAGAGGUGGGUUGUGCUGCGCCCGUGUCUCAGAGUUGGGUUCUGCUGGGUCGGUGUCUCAGAGGUGGGUUCUGCUGGGUCGGUGUCUCAGAGGUGGGUUCUACUGGAUCAGUGUCUCAGAGGUGGGUUCUACUGGAUCAGUGUCUCAGAGGUGGGUUGUGCUGCGCCCGUGUCUCAGAGUUGGGUUCUGCUGGAUCAGUGUCUCAGAGGUGGGUUCUGCUGGGUCGGUGUCUCAGAGGUGGGUUCUGCUGCGUCCGUGUCUCAGAGGUGGGUUCUGCUGGAUCAGUGUCUCAGAGGUGGGUUCUACUGGAUCAGUGUCUCAGAGGUGGGUUCUGCUGGGUCAGUGUCUCAGAGGUGGGUUCUGCUGGGUCCGUGUCUCAGAGGUGGGUUCUGCUGGAUCAGUGUCUCAGAGGUGGGUUCUACUGGAUCAGUGUCUCAGAGGUGGGUUCUGCUGGGUCCGUGUCUCAGAGGUGGGUUCUGCUGGGUCCAGGUCUCAGAGGUGGGUUCUGCUGGGUCGGUGUCUCAGAGGUGGGUUCUGCUGGGUCGGUGUCUCAGAGUUGGGUUCUGCUGGGUCGGUGUCUCAGAGGUGGGUUCUGCUGGGUCCAGGUCUCAGAGGUGGGUUCUGCUGGAUCAGUGUCUCAGAGGUGGGUUCUGCUGGGUCGGUGUCUCAGAGGUGGGUUCUGCUGCGUCCGUGUCUCAGAGGUGGGUUCUGCUGGGUCGGUGUUUCAGAGGUGGGUUCUGCUGGGUCGGUGUCUCAGAGGUGGGUUCUGCUGCGUCCGUGUCUCAGAGGUGGGUUCUGCUGCGCCCGUGUCUCAGAGGUGGGUUCUGCUGGAUCAGUGUCUCAGAGGUGGGUUCUGCUGCGUCCCUGUCUCAGAGGUGGGUUCUGCUGGGUCCAGGUCUCAGAGGUGGGUUCUACUGGAUCAGUGUCUCAGAGUUGGGUUCUGCUGGAUCAGUGUCUCAGAGGUGGGUUCUGCUGGGUCCGUGUCUCAAAGGUGGGUUCUGCUGGGUCCGUGUCUCAGAGGUGAGUUCUGCUGGGUCGGUGUCUCAGAGGUGGGUUCUGCUGGGUCGGUGUCUCAGAGUUGGGUUCUGCUGGGUCGGUGUCUCAGAGUUGGGUUCUGCUGGAUCAGUGUCUCAGAGGUGGGUUCUGCUGGGUCCAGGUCUCAGAGGUGGGUUCUGCUGGAUCAGUGUCUCAGAGUUGGGUUCUGCUGGGUCCAGGUCUCAGAGGUGGGUUCUGCUGGGUCCAGGUCUCAGAGGUGGGUUCUGCUGGGUCGGUGUCUCAGAGGUGGGUUCUGCUGCGUCCGUGUCUCAGAGGUGGGUUCUGCUGGAUCAGUGUCUCAGAGGUGGGUUCUACUGGAUCAGUGUCUCAGAGGUGGGUUCUGCUGGGUCGGUGUCUCAGAGGUGGGUUCUGCUGGGUCCAGGUCUCAGAGGUGGGUUCUGCUGGAUCAGUGUCUCAGAGGUGGGUUCUGCUGCGUCCGUGUCUCAGAGGUGGGUUCUGCUGGAUCAGUGUCUCAGAGGUGGGUUCUGCUGGAUCAGUGUCUCAGAGGUGAGUUCUGCUGGGUCGGUGUCUCAGAGUUGGGUUCUGCUGGGUCCAGGUCUCAGAGGUGGGUUCUGCUGGGUCCAGGUCUCAGAGGUGGGUUCUGCUGGAUCAGUGUCUCAGAGGUGGGUUCUGCUGGGUCGGUGUCUCAGAGGUGGGUUCUGCUGGGUCCAGGUCUCAGAGGUGGGUUCUGCUGGGUCGGUGUCUCAGAGGUGGGUUCUGCUGGGUCCAGGUCUCAGAGGUGGGUUCUGCUGGGUCCAGGUCUCAGAGGUGGGUUCUGCUGCGUCGGUGUCUCAGAGGUGGGUUCUGCUGGGUCCGUGUCUCAGAGGUGGGUUCUGCUGGAUCAGUGUCUCAGAGGUGGGUUCUACUGGAUCAGUGUCUCAGAGGUGGGUUCUGCUGGGUCGGUGUCUCAGAGGUGGGUUCUGCUGGAUCAGUGUCUCAGAGGUGGGUUCUGCUGGGUCCAGGUCUCAGAGGUGGGUUCUGCUGGGUCGGUGUCUCAGAGGUGGGUUCUGCUGGGUCGGUGUCUCAGAGUUGGGUUCUGCUGGGUCGGUGUCUCAGAGUUGGGUUCUGCUGGAUCAGUGUCUCAGAGGUGGGUUCUGCUGGGUCCAGGUCUCAGAGGUGGGUUCUGCUGGAUCAGUGUCUCAGAGUUGGGUUCUGCUGGGUCCAGGUCUCAGAGGUGGGUUCUGCUGGGUCCAGGUCUCAGAGGUGGGUUCUGCUGGAUCAGUGUCUCAGAGGUGGGUUCUGCUGGGUCGGUGUCUCAGAGGUGGGUUCUGCUGCGUCCGUGUCUCAGAGGUGGGUUCUGCUGGGUCGGUGUCUCAGAGGUGGGUUCUGCUGGGUCCAGGUCUCAGAGGUGGGUUCUGCUGGGUCGGUGUCUCAGAGGUGGGUUCUGCUGGGUCCAGGUCUCAGAGGUGGGUUCUGCUGCGUCCGUGUCUCAGAGGUGGGUUCUGCUGCGUCCGUGUCUCAGAGGUGGGUUCUGCUGGGUCCAGGUCUCAGAGGUGGGUUCUGCUGGGUCCAGGUCUCAGAGGUGGGUUCUACUGGAUCAGUGUCUCAGAGUUGGGUUCUGCUGCGUCCGUGUCUCAGAGUUGGGUUCUGCUGGGUCCGUGUCUCAGAGGUGGGUUCUGCUGGGUCCGUGUCUCAGAGGUGGGUUCUGCUGGGUCGGUGUCUCAGAGGUGA
ensembl:lncRNA